AGGUUUUUCUGUAGAAAAAGCGAAUUUAAAAAACAUAGGACCUUUUUGACUUGGAAUUUGUAUGAAGACUUUCCUAUGUUUUUUAUAUUCGGCUCGCGGUUACGCUUUCGAAUAUAAAAAACAUAGGAAAGUCUUCAUACAAAUUCCAAGUCAAAAGGUCCUAUGUUUUUUAAAUUCGCUUUUUCUACAGAAAAACCU
rnacentral:miRNA from 1 species